rnacentral:misc_RNA from 1 species
UGUAGCUCAGUUGGUUAGAGCGCGCGCUUGAUAAGCGUGAGGUCGGAAGUUCAAGUCUUCCCAGGCCCACCAUUUUGAUCGAGUGCGGAGCAUUCGUCUUCUGGUACGGGGCCAUAGCUCAGCUGGGAGAGCGCGUGCUUUGCAAGCAUGAGGUCGUCGGUUCGAUCCCGUCUGGCUCCACCAGAUGGAAUUGAAGCUCGAUAGCGCCUCGUUCAUUUCGUCCGCGAAACAUCACUUCGCACUCAUUGGUCCGGAUGGACGGUGACGUGCGUGUUUUCUGACAUCGUAAAGAGGAGAUCGAUCCGAGUUUGGAUCAAGCGAAGCAAUUCGCCUGAGCCAUUCAUUAUCUCCGGGAUCAUUUCGGCGCUCGCUUCAAUCGUGAGAUUGGAUGCGGGUUGUAAAUGAUCCCUUUUAGCGAAGCUUGACCGCCUCGCUAUCGGGCCGAUCUUACGAAGCAAGCUGGUCUUUCUAGUCAAUGUCCGGCUGCGCAAUCGCAUUCAUCGAGGAUGCGUGCCUGAGACUUCGGUCUUCGGGCAGUUGUGCAGACAACAUUCUGCCGAGUGUGUGGACAUUGAUAAUGAGAGCAAUCAAGUGCCUUAAGGGUGUUCGGUGGAUGCCUUGGCGCUGAGAGGCGAUGAAGGACGUGCUACGCUGCGAUAAGCCGUGGGGAGCUGCGAAGAAGCUUUGAUCCGCGGAUUUCCGAAUGGGGAAACCCGG